GACGAACGCUGGCGGCGUGCUUAACACAUGCAAGUCGAACGGUGAAGCUCCAGCUUGCUGGAGUGGAUCAGUGGCGAACGGGUGAGUAACACGUGAGCAACCUGCCCCUGACUCUGGAAUAAGCGCUGGAAACGGCGUCUAAUACUGGAUACGAGAAGGGUCCGCAUGGGCACUUUCUGGAAAGUUUGUCGGUUGGGGAUGGGCUCGCGGCCUAUCAGCUUGUUGGUGAGGUAAUGGCUCACCAAGGCGACGACGGGUAGCCGGCCUGAGAGGGCGACCGGCCCCACUGGGACUGAGACACGGCCCAGACUCCUACGGGAGGAAGCAGUGGGGAAUAUUGCACGAUGGGCGAAAGCAUGAUGCAGCGACGCCGCGUGAGGGAUGACGGCCUUCGGGUUGUAACCCUCUUUCAGCAGGGAAGAAGCGAAAGUGACGGUACCUGCAGAAGAAGCACCGGCUAACUACGUG
rnacentral:rRNA from 1 species